rnacentral:lncRNA from 1 species
UCGUCGUUCGCAGCAAGACUCAUCGUUAAGGUUGCCAAUCGGUUCGAUUUUCUUUCUAGAAAGCGCACUGUCCAAGAGUGCGCUUGAAAUCCGUAGUUUCUGCGAGCACAAUACUGUUGGAAAGUUGAAUUGUGCAGCUAAAAGCCAGCACAUGUGACCUUGUUGACCAAUUCGUCAGAAAAACCGGGGAGAGAGACUUGCUCGUGUAUAAGGUGGAUCCCUUGGAGCCUCAGUGGCAUAGAGAA